CCGCCCGUGACGUAAGCUCCAGACGCCUGAGAAGUGGAAGGACCCGGCGUCCAGGACAGGAAAGUGCGUGAUUUACAGCUAGAGGGGUAGGCGCUGUCCCGGAGCCCGUCCUGGGCCAGGGAGCAGGAGAGGGAGGGACUACAGUUCCCGACGCGCUGCGGCGGAGAUCGUGCGCUUCGGCGCCAGUUGCACGGCCUUAGCAGCCAGUGGCGGCUCCCCUGCUCCUGUAACAGUCCCCUUGUCUUCUGACCUUUCGCUCCUCGGUCAUGUGUCCACGCCGGUCGCCGCGGCAGCCCGUGAUGCCCGAGCGGCGGGUUCCCAGGCCCAGGUGUGGGCGCCACCGCCCACCAUGCUCCAAGGCCAGAGCCUGGUUGAAUCGUUCGCCGCCUUGUCCACCCAUUUUGGCCAUUAUCCUGCCACCUCCAAAUCCUGUUUUUGACACCUCUCGGGAGAGAGAGAAAACGGAAAGAUAAAGGAAUAAACUCCUCGUGGUCGUAGUUAGUGGGUAAAUUCAGAUCUCGUUUGAACCGAGGUUUUUCUUAUCUCCAGCCACCGUAUCCACCACCACCAGAAUCGUCUUUUUAGUCAUCACAGCUGGUCGCCGUCAGGACCUUGUUCAGAAGCCUGUCGCAGCUUCCAUCGUGUGGUUAUAAAAUCCAAAUUCCUUAUAAAGUCCAAAUUCAAGAGGAAGAAUGCACGUUUAGUUAAGUUAAUGUCUAGACCUUACCAGCCAAUUUCUAGCUCCUCAGUAUGGAAAUUGCAACUGAAAACACCCCUUCCAAAAAAAGCAGUCUGCAUUUUUCUCUGAGUUUUCUUCUCCAAAUUUCGCACCCCUGACCUUGCUUACACACUCUGGAUACCACCUGCUGUGGGGUGGCGAAAGCAGACAUCCAGCGAUAGCUAAGUUUCCUGUCGUUGACACCCAAGCAAGACAGGCGUGUACCUAACUGAGGACCUGCCGGUGAUAGAAGUCUCAGCUUUUCUCAGAGACAGAUGAGUCUUCCCUUUAAAUGCUGCAAAGUGCUGCAUAGUAGAUGUUAAAUGAAAGUCAGAAGGAAUCAAAUGUACUGCAAAUAAUCGAAGGCAAAGUCCCAAAUCAGAAUGCAGUCCCCUGGCCAGUGACCCUAGAGAUGACGCUGGCUCCGGCGGUGGCUCCAGGUUCCUGGCAGCAAGGAAGAACAAACUUAGAUCCCCCUGCCAAUAAAGUUACCUACAAGUUAUCCUUCUGAUUGAAAAACAUGAAAAGACUUACGGUAUUUCAGAGAACACGGUUGCUGAUGUUACCACCUGGGACCUGGCGCAAAGGUACUUACUUCCCUAACUCUUGUCCCCAGGGCCAGCCCUUGUCACUGCUGGUUGGGGUAACCCCUCAUUUCCUCUUGCCUCUGCAUUUGAAAGCACCGCCCCCUCCACCCAGACCAUUUGAGGUGGUCUCUCUGUCUACAACUGUGAGUGGCUGGCCAAAAUUAAUCUCUGGUAUGGAUAGAAGGAGAAGUGUCUGGAAGUCUAGAGUAUUUUUGAGUGUGUCAAUGAUGGUUGCAUGGCCACAAGGAAACUGGUGCAUAUCUGGGGAUACCAGGCUUGUUCUCUGAGCCUAGCGUGAAAGAAGUAGUGCCCUUCAGGGAAUGCCCUUGCCAAGCCACCCUUUCUGGUGGUCCGACGGGGAGAAGCUUGACAAGCCAAUCUUUACAGUGGUACCAUCACCCACAUUCCCAGGCCCUUGAUGCAUGAGGGUGGGCACUGCCUGCUGCUGGGGCUUAUUUUGCUAAGGUGUUGGCAUCCUGUUGAGGCUCCCCCAAUACUUGGAGUAUCAACAGCACAGGGAGAGAGAGGGAAGGAAGGGAGUGAGCUCAGUUAGAUUAUCUUUCAUGAGCUGGCAUAAUCCACAUGCCACAGAACAUGAGCGGGACCCAUCUGAGAUCAACCACUGAAAAUAAAUCAGGGGUUAGGCAACUAAAGAUACAGAGACACUGGAAUCUGCGAUUGAGUCAUCUGAAAAAUAAAACUACCCACUGUCGACUAAAUCAUGUAAAUUGUGCUCAAACGAGGCUAGGGUUGGAAUAUGUUGGAAAUGUAAGCAAUUAAAGGAGCACCUGCAAGAAGAUUGGGUCAGAUAACAUUUUGGAAGUCCUGGUGCAUGGUGGGUGAAAAAAACAACAAAACUGUUGCUUUAAAAUGCAAGCAUCACACUGUGAAAAACUGGGGACAUGCAUGACUCCCUUUGCUGCCCCAAACCUACAAGAGAGUAUGUCAGAGACCAUUCCAGCAAGUGAAGGCAUCAGGCCUGGGGCUGGUUCUCCACAGCCCAAACCAGCCUGCAAGUGAACAACCAGGGACUGAACCUUUCUGGGACCUCCUGCAAUCAGAGCUUUACAAAGUGACUGAAAUCGCUGGGGAUGGGCUUCAGUGAUGGAGCAAGUCAAACAUCUUUAUCUGCCCACUGAGAGGAGAAAAGUUGGAGACACAAAUGGCCCUGAAAGUCAUAAGCUGAAACUGUUGGUCUGUUUUUUUCCCCUCUGGAUGAGGAAUGGCUGAGCCCCUGAGCAUGUGUCUGGAACAUAUCUGGGAGGCUUACUCCCUUUGCUUCAAACCCAAUUUUAGAAAAAGUUGCCAACAAUAUAUGACUACGGAAAGUAGAAAAAAAUAAUGUGGGGAGAUUCACGUUUGAUUUCAGAAUUAUCAGGAUCACAAGGAUAGAGCCAGAUGUUGCCCAUCACUUAUUACAUCUUUCGGAACAUUCUGCAGAACCACAUUUCUGCCUUUUUUCUCUGCUGUCUGCAUUCCAGACACCCUCUUAGCUCACACAGUGCGCCGAGAACCUUGGGGCUGUGGUCACCCUGCUGAGACAGCAGGUCACAGGAACCCUUUGGCCACAUCUGCAUCCAUCAGUGUCCACAACAUCUUUCGUUUCUUGAGUUAGAUUUAUUUUAUGAUAAGCGGCUCAGGCGGAAUUCCAUUCUUGCUUAAGAUAGCCUCAAUUAGAAAUCAAGAGAUCUAGCCAUUGUUUUUUUUUUGUAUCAUUUAAACAGUUCCAAAAUAAUUAAUAUGUGGUUUGAUUCAUUUUUGUCACGGAUUCACUUAUUCAGCAGAUUUUAAUCACUGAUAUGGUUUGGCUGUGUCCCCACCCAAAUCACAUCUUGAACUGUAGUUCCCAUAAUCCCUAAGUGUCAUAAUCCCAUAAUCCCCGAAUACCAGGAGGGCAGUAACUGAAUCACGGGGGCAAUUACCCCCAUGCUGUUCUUGUGAUAGUGAGUGAAUUCUCAUGAGAUCUGAUGGUUUUGCAAGGGGCUUUCCCCCCUUUCCUCAGCACUUCUCCUUGCUGCCGUCACGUGAAGAAGGACGUGUUUGCUUCCCAUUCCACCACGAUUGUAAGUUUCCUGAGGCCUCUCCAGUCCUGCGGAACUG